CGUGAGUGACGAAGGCUUUCGGGUCGUAAAGCUCUGUCAAGUGGGAAGAACCUGUUAGAUACUAAUACCAUCUAGCACUGACGGUACCACUAAAGGAAGCACCGGCUAACUCCGUGCCAGCAGCCGCGGUAAUACGGGGGGUGCAAGCGUUAUUCGGAAUUAUUGGGCGUAAAGGGCGCGUAGGCGGUCUCUAAAGUCAGAUGUGAAAGCCCGGGGCUUAACCCCGGAAGUGCAUUUGAAACUUAGGGACUUGAGUAUGGGAGAGGGAAGUGGAAUUCCUGGUGUAGCGGUGAAAUGCGUAGAUAUCAGGAGGAACACCAGUGGCGAAGGCGACUUCCUGGACCAAUACUGACGCUGAGGCGCGAAGGCGUGGGGAGCAAACAGGAUUAGAUACCCUGGUAGUCCACGCAGUAAACGGUGAACACUAGGUGUAGCGGGUAUUGACCCCUGCUGUGCCGCAGCUAACGCAUUAA
rnacentral:rRNA from 1 species